AUGAACGCUGGCGGCGUGCCUAAUACAUGCAAGUCGAGCGAACAGACGAGGAGCUUGCUCCUCUGACGUUAGCGGCGGACGGGUGAGUAACACGUGGAUAACCUACCUAUAAGACUGGGAUAACUUCGGGAAACCGGAGCUAAUACCGGAUAAUAUAUUGAACCGCAUGGUUCAAUAGUGAAAGACGGUUUUGCUGUCACUUAUAGAUGGGUCCGCGCCGCAUUAGCUAGUUGGUAAGGUAACGGCUUACCAAGGCAACGAUGCGUAGCCGACCUGAGAGGGUGAUCGGCCACACUGGAACUGAGACACGGUCCAGACUCCUACGGGAGGCAGCAGUAGGGAAUCUUCCGCAAUGGGCGAAAGCUUGACGGAGCAACGCCGCGUGAGUGAUGAAGGUCUUCGGAUCGUAAAACUCUGUUAUUAGGGAAGAACAAAUGUGUAAGUAACUAUGCACGUCUUGACGGUACCUAAUCAGAAAGCCACGGCUAACUACGUG
rnacentral:rRNA from 1 species